GAUGUGCUAACGUUCUCAUAAUCACUGGUAUAAAUUCGCCUCUUUGAUAAUUAAGACGUGACAUUAAGUUUUACGAGCUCUCACAGCAAAGUGCAACGUUAAGGAUUACGACUGGUAUAGCCAUCCUGAUAAAUCAUGUUUCACAUCUCUUGGAAAACUUUGAUCAUCCUAUCCUAUUACAUGAUAACAUUGAUCAUGUUUUUCAACCGUAAUAGAGAUGACAGCUACAUCCCGCUGAGAUUCUAAUCAAUUCUUUUGGAUUUGUAAGUGCUCGCCUUUGGACCACUCGAUGUUCAACUACUAAAUCAAGAAAGACAUGGAAUCGAAGAGCUAAGGAGACAUAUAGAAUCUUGUUUAACCUGAUGAUCGACUCACCAUGCAUCUACCUUCUACUGUCUAUAACGUCAAACUCGCGACGGGGUUGAUGUUUUCGAGAAGAGAAAUGAACGAAAAGAAAUACAAAAUUUAAAGCAUAUCCACAAGGCAUGGUAUAACUCCUUUCGAUUGAGGUGAUAUCGUUUCAAAGACCAUAAAUCCACGUCGUAGUUGUCGUUGUCGUCGUCGUAGUCGCGAAACUAAAGAAAGAAAGAAACGAAGCGACAAAGUCUUUGAAUAGACAUACGGCGCACGUAUCAUUGUAUGCAUAGUAGACAGCUGGGCAAUGAACGAAACAGGGAAACGUCCUUCAUAGUGGUCACUUCGCGUUACACUUGCCCGGUUUAGACGACUUAUGACGUGGAUUUACGAGGCACCUGGAGAGUGUAACCGAUCGCACGUAUAACUCCCUUGACAUUCCUUCGAGUUCCCUCGCUAUCAGGCAAAUCAAGCAACGCGUGCCUUCUCGUGAACAGUAUCUGGCUGAAGAAGGAGUCAAACUAUUAGUUGGAAAUUAGCUGGUUUGCUUUAAGAAUAGAUUAAUUAUUCCGGUCAUGGUUGACCUAAUCGUAUUCUAUAACAAUAAAACUAAUCAAAAUAUUAUAGUUUCUUUAUUUAUACAAAACUAAAUUAAUAGAGAAAUGGCUUUAUCUUAAAUAUUCAUCAAGAUAAGGGAUUAUAUGAAUAUCACAGAAUUAGUAUAACUUAAAUGGAUUUAAUAUUGGCGAUUAUUGGUAUUCUCAUCUUUCCUAUCCGAGUUAUUUGCUAAUGCGAAUCCAACUGACUCGAUUUUCUUUCCGAAGAGAACGUAUCGGUCUCUUCUUCUCCAUGACGUCCACCAGCAGGAUGAGGAUCGCGACGCGGAGGAAUGCUCGAAUCAUGCUCCCUAAUUCUUCGAUCGAACCGAACGAUCGAGAGUAAGAGAAGCCAAUGGCGUGCACAUGUACGAGAAAGACAAAGUCCUUGGCAAGCGACACAGAAGGCAUCCCGCGGAGCAGGUAGCUUCGGAGAGACUUUCUGUCAGCAUUCAACAUUAUCUAAGCCUUUAUCUACCUCUUCGUCUAUCUAACCACCCCACUUCCCCUUCUCAACUCUGCCUGCCAUCUUCUCCUCUGUCUCUCUGCGGCUUCUAGAAUGUCUGUAUACGUCGCGUGUAUAUAGCCGACCGUUUAUGUAAUAGCAGGUAGGCCUGCCCUAAACGUAAGGAUUCCACCUGUGGCAAAGGAUCUCCCUCGUAAAUUCACAUCGUGGGAGAGUACCUUCACCUUGCGUGGGGUCCAACGACUCGAUGAAUUUUAAUUACUCCAUCGUAGAAAUUUUGAAGAAAAUUCAAGUCUAAUGAAUAACGGUAAUAAGAAAUAUCGCGAGUAACUUGUUUUUAAAAUUGUUUCUAAAACUCAUUCUCGUGGGAGAGUGUAUGUCUCUUCUGUGAGGUCCACUCGGAAGACAAAGGUCAGUUUCGUUGUAGUAUGGACCGACAAAAUCUUUUGUUUGUCUCUUUGUGACGUACAAAAGAGAUUAAAAAAUAAAUAAUAGGUAGGUUUGAAUUGUCGCCAUUCGAUCUUUUAGUUAAAAUUCCUUGAAAUAUUUGGUGUCGAUAUUCUUAUCUAUUUUACUACUCGAUAUCUUUGUCAACGAGACAGUGGAAUGUAGUUUAGAUGAUCAAUGUCAUUGACGAUACGGCCUUCUGCUUACGAAAUAACUUUAGUUCAUCGUCGUUGCGUGCCAGAAGAAUUUUUAAAUCAAUCGAUAAGUAGGUGCGAUGGAUUCAAAGUAUCCAGUGAAUACUAAUUGUAUGUGUUCUCUCUUUCUCUCUCUCUCUCUCUCUCUCUCUCUCUCUCUCUCUCUCUCUCUUUCUCCAUCUCUUUCUCUUCGUCACAAAUUGGAUUAAGUUCUGUACAUAUUCAAGAAUCUUAUACAAUCGAUUCAAUAUCCAAUUAUCGUAUCAUUGAAAUUAAGUGAUAAAAGUUUUUUUACUUCUUAAGAUACUCUUAUUAUAAGUUUUCGAUGCUAAUUAUAAUAUUCCCACUUCAUUUCAUAUCUACUGUCAACAAUAUUCUACCAAUAAGAGUCAAUUAAUAAUAUCGAUUGGAAGUCUCACGAUAUCGUGAAAAGCGAAAGAUCGUUAGAGGAUCGUUAGAUUAGAGCGCGAAUCUUCCUUGAUGACGGCUCGAUUCGAUGGGGAAGCUCACCUCGUUGUGUUUUUGCUCUGCAUAAAUGAUGAGCCCGAGUAUUUUAAUGAAGACAUUCCAUGGCUGCUUGCCGGCUUCUUGGCGUACGAGAAAGAGAGAAAGAGAGAGAGAGAGAGAGAGAUAAAGUGAGAAAGAGAGAGAAGGAGAGACAGAAGCUCUGCGAAGCUUAGGUCGAAUAGAUAUGUUCUUGAUCAUCAGCUUUUGCCUCCUACUAUUAACGUAUUGUUAUCUUCAAUCAAUGGAAUAUACGAAGAUGGACGUCACAAAAAUAUUUUCACUAACCUUCUCUUUCUCUCUCCCUCUCUCUCUCUCUCUCUCUUUUUCUUACAGCUUUUUUCCCAAUUAACAUAGUACAAAUACGAAUGCAUACAUUCAAGUACCAAUUGCAUACAAAUACGAAUCGACAGACAGGCAAGACUUUCCAGUGCUUAGCCAUCUUCGUAUACUCGAUGAAGUCUUGACACCUUAAAGGCUCAAUCGACGCUUUAUCUCGAUUCCCUUUUCAAGAGUGAGCAUACUCGCUCGGUUAACCAUCGUAAAUUCAAUUCGAGUUAUUCGCAUAAGAACGAAAUCGUGAAUACUAUCGUGGUUUUCGAGGUGCCCACAAGAGAAACAACAUUCGUGUGCUUAGCUCGUCGAAUGGUUGAAAGGAUAAAACUAGCUUGGCAAAUAAAAUGGCGUGAACACGCUAAAGAAAAAGGUAAGAGUAAGUGAACAAAAGAGAUAGAUCGAGGGAAUGUUUUAACAUCAACCGAUUUACGGAUGCACGAAGCGUGUUUCGUUCGGUGACAAUGCUUAAAUGACUGCAACGAGCGCACGUGUUUCAAAGCGACAAGCACCGCAACAGAACGUUCCUAACUCGUAUCCAAGUCACGUCUCAUUUGCCGUAUUCAACGAUGUAUCGACGGGGAACUGCAAUACGCAGAGGGAGAAAAGCGAGUGAGCGAGAGAGAAAGAGAGAGAGA